ensembl:lncRNA
AUGAGGAACCCUGGGGGGGUGCUGACAAGGCUUCCACUUAGGAAGUGCUGUCUCUGGGACAGUGGAGGCAGUCACUGCUUAGGGCAUCAGGAGACCACUUCCAGAAGGGCAGGCUGUGCACCUGAGACAACAGCUGAACCGACCAGAGGAGAAAGGUCGGGAUCCUGGGAGCCCGAGCUCAGGUUGGAGCUGAAGGUGGUGGUAGCCAGGACAGACCACAGAAAAGUUUCCUACAGGGAAGUGGCAGUGGCCUCAGGAAACCGGGCAGAGAAGAGCCAGGGGCCACCUGAGUUCCCAACCCUCUCCAGGCUCCUCUCUCAAGUGAUGUCGCAGCCUGCACCUGUUCCUCUCACCAGGGCAGGAGGAAGGCCCUGGCCACCCAGCGAGCAGACACUGUCACUAUUUAGAGAAAGAGUGGCAUGGGAGGGAAAACUGCAGAAGGAACUGAAAAUUCAGUGCCAUGGACAACUCUUUUAUUGUGAACAUGGCACCUUCUGAUCCAGAGCCUAUCAACUUCCAGAGCUCCUCUCUCUCUCUCUCUCUCUCUCUCUCUCUCUCUCUCUCUCUCCACAUGGCUGACUGGUCAGAUUUUUACUAGGCAUUUUUGAAUUGAAAUACAUUAAUUAAAAGUCUCAACCUCAAAAUUUAUUGCCUGUUUUGUGUCCCUGUAUGACAUUGGGCAAAUGCCUACCCCUUUCUAGACCUCAGUUUGCUCACCUGUAACUUAAAGAGGAUGAACCACGAGGGCAGAGGCAGGAAGGGAUGUCUCGGGUGAAAAAGACUGUAUGAUGUAGUGGAGAAACGGGUGCUUGAGAACCAGCAGACUUAAGUUAGAAACCUGACUCUGACACUCUGUUAGUCAUGUGCUCUUGAGAAAGUUGCUUUUCCUCUACCAAGUCCGGGCUUCUCAUUGGUAAAAUGGAGAUAACAAUUGGUGUGGGGAUUGUGAUGGGCUGAAUUACAUCCCUCAAAAAGAUACAUUGAAGUCUUGAUCCCUAGUACCUGUGAAUGUGACCUUAUUUGGGAAUGGGGUUGGUGCAGAUGUAAUUAAGAAGAGGUCACACUGGAGUAGGGUAGUCUCUAAUCCAAUAUGACUGGUGUCCUUAUAACAAGGGGAGAAGACACAUGGGGAGAAGAUGGUCAUGUGACAGUGGAGGCAGAGAUUGGAGUGAUGUGUCCCCAAGGCAAGGAAUGCCUGGGGCUACCAGAAGCUGGAAGAAGUAAGGAAGGAUUCUUUCCUGGAGGCUUCAGAGUGAGCACAGCUUUGCCAAGCUUGAUUUCAGAACUCCAGCCUCCAGAACUGUGAGAAAAUAAACUUUUGUUGUUUUAAGCCA